rnacentral:rRNA from 1 species
UACGGGGGGGGCAAGCGUUGUUCGGAAUUACUGGGCGUAAAGGGCUCGUAGGUGGCCAACUAAGUCAGACGUGAAAUCCCUCGGCUUAACCGGGGAACUGCAUCUGAUACUGGAUGGCUUGAGUUUGGGAGAGGGAUGCGGAAUUCCAGGUGUAGCGGUGAAAUGCGUAGAUAUCUGGAGGAAUACCGGUGGCGAAGGCGGCAUCCUGGACCGACAUUGACGCUGAACGGCGAAAGCUAGGGGAGCAAACGGG